AAUCAAAGCUUUUCAUGGUGGCUGUCCUGUGCUUCCUCGUCCUGGUAACACCAUUGGGUUUCUGGGGGUUGCAUUAGGAGGAGGACCUGAAGGGGGAAAGAUUGAGAUCUGCCCCCACCACCGGAUCUAUUUAUUUAUUUUAGAAAGACAGAGAGAGAGAGAGAGCGCGCGCAGGGGAAGGGACAGAGGGAGAGAGAAUCCUCCACUGAGCACUGAGCCUGAUGUGGGGCUCCAUCCCAGGACCCUGACAUCAUAACCUGAGCUGAAACCAAGAGAGGGACACUUAACCGACUGAGCCACCCAGGUGCCCCUAGAUGGGAAUCCAAAGAUAUUCCUCCUUCCCUGGGCCCUCCUCCCUCUUUCUCUAUUCCUGGCUAUUGCUGAAUUUUAUAUUCACAUCCGUCCUCCACAGGUAGUCAAUUCAACUGAUACCUUGGGGUCCCAGAUGGAUUAAGAAUCCUGCAGACUGUGAGAUCCUGGAAAGGAGCUUCAGCAAUUUCUGCCACAAUGAUGAGCAAAGCAGCAGAUUCUUUGAAGAAUAUGUGCUGAGAUCUGGGAUCCCCCUGAGCAGCGUAGAUGUGAGACUGGAGAAGCUGUGCUCCCUGAUAUGGAGAUGCCUAGCCCUGGCUGAGUGGAACAGUGGCCUUGCAGUUCCAAGGCUGGGACUUCCAGGAGCAGAGAGGCUUAGCUCACUCCAGGAGCCUCAGCAGACAUGGAGACCACUCUGCUUCUCCUCUCCUAGCACAGGGGGAGACUGUGUCAUCUCCUUUUUGACAAAGGGGGAUUCCAGAAGUGGUACCUGAGUCACAGGAUUCUGGCAGAGAGACAAACCAUUCCAGGCACCCAAUACCCAAAAGGAGGAAGACUAGGAAAUACAUAAAGAAUGCAAGUGGACAACGAAUUUCAGAUAAAGACUUAAAGCCUUAAAUGAAAGAUAGAUUAGAGACUUAAAUGAUCUACUCAGCAAAUUUACUGGGAAGCUACCAGAACUUCAUCAUUAGCCCUGGCAUGGGCUGCUUCUAAUGCCCCAGGAAUUGCCCCAGCUAUGUGUCCAUGAGGUCAUCAGUUCUCAAAAAUUUGCAAAACCAAGUUAUUUUAAGAACCAACAGCUGAGACCGCUGUCUCUUCUUGCCUAGAGCAAUCGGCCUUCCUUGUAGGCCCUGGGACUGAGAGAGCUCCUGGGCCAUGGGAUGUUCAGUACUUAAAAUCAGCAAAGUCCUUGGCAAGCUGAGGUAAGUCGCUCAUCCUACUUUCCAUUCUUCCCACGUCUCUCUCAUCAGAUGGCCCUGGAAAAAAUAUAGGGCCUAUGGGGUCUGGCAGAGGGGAGGCUGAAUAAGGGAUGUAUUUCAUUUUGGCCUGGUGGGAUAGAUGCCUGGGAUUUGUAAUUUGUAAUUUUGCAUUAAGUUAUUGGUAAGUGUUGCAGAACAUCAGCCUCCAGGGUGCUAGCACUGACCCACUCAACAUUCUCUCACCAAGACACAGGACCUUG
rnacentral:lncRNA from 12 species